rnacentral:rRNA from 1 species
GACGAACGCUGGCGGCGUGCUUAACACAUGCAAGUCGAACGGAAAGGCCCUUCGGGGUACUCGAGUGGCGAACGGGUGAGUAACACGUGGGUGAUCUGCCCUGCACUUUGGGAUAAGCCUGGGAAACUGGGUCUAAUACCGGAUAGGACUACGCACUGCAUGGUGUGUGGUGGAAAGCUUUUGCGGUGUGGGAUGGGCCCGCGGCCUAUCAGCUUGUUGGUGGGGUGAUGGCCUACCAAGGCGACGACGGGUAGCCGGCCUGAGAGGGUGUCCGGCCACACCGGGACUGAGAUACGGCCCAGACUCCUACGGGAGGCAGCAGUGGGGAAUAUUGCACAAUGGGCGCAAGCCUGAUGCAGCGACGCCGCGUGAGGGAUGACGGCCUUCGGGUUGUAAACCUCUUUCAGUACCGACGAAGCGCAAGUGACGGUAGGUACAGAAGAAGCACCGGCCAACUACGUGCCAGCAGCCGCGGUAAGAC